AAACAAAUGAGAGGAGGUGAUCCUGUGUCUAAAAAGGUAUUGGAGAAAUGUGUUGGGACAAUUUGCGAGGUGCGCCGCUAGCGGCAACCCCUAGUAGGCCAUGCGCCCGCGAAUUGGUGAAUGCCUAACCGACACACCUCCGAAACUCAGAUUAAGGGCCGUUCCAGUGGGGCGGCCC
rnacentral:sRNA from 1 species